rnacentral:piRNA from 1 species
UGAGUGCAAAUGGAACCAACAGGUUU